GAUGAACGCUAGCGGGAGGCCUAACACAUGCAAGCCGAGCGGUAUUGUUUCUUCGGAAAUGAGAGAGCGGCGUACGGGUGCGUAACACGUGUGCAACCUGCCUUUAUCUGGGGGAUAGCCUUUCGAAAGGAAGAUUAAUACUCCAUAAUAUAUUGAACGGCAUCGUUUAAUAUUGAAAGCUCCGGCGGAUAGAGAUGGGCACGCGCAAGAUUAGCUAGUUGGUGAGGUAACGGCUCACCAAGGCGAUGAUCUUUAGGGGGCCUGAGAGGGUGAUCCCCGACACUGGUGCUGAGACACGGACAAGGCUCCUACGGGAGGCAGCAGUGAGGAAUAUUGGUCAAUGGGUGCAAGCCUGAACCAGCCAUCCCGCGUGAAGGACGACUGCCCUAUGGGUUGUAAACUUCUUUUGUAUAGGGAUAAACCUACCCUCGUGAGGGUAGCUGAAGGUACUAUACGAAUAAGCACCGGCUAACUCCGUGCCAGCCGCCGCCGUAA
rnacentral:rRNA from 1 species